UUGGAUAUUGCGUGGGUUAGGGCCGGGAGCAGGGAAUUGGACGCCACCAAGGGAGAAAGAGAAAGAACCUACCAUCACUUUUCCGGUCGCCGCCUCUCCGGCUCCGAGGUUCUACAGAUAGGCCGAACCUUUAAUCAAGUUGCUUCGCUCGUCCAACGGUCCAAAUUCUUCCAAGUGCUCGCCCGUGCCAGUACAACUUAUACUGCUUCAGGCGACAGCUCCAUCUCUCCGUUCGGAUCAUCAUCUAUAGUGCGCCGAAGUAGAAGACAGCUCUCCAAGGCACAAGGAUUGUUUAGGGUUUUGUGUGUGAAGAGAGAUGGGAGAAGAAGAGUUAUGGUGCGUGGUGACUGGGGGCAGAGGCUUUUCUGCGAGGCAUUUGGUGGAAAUGCUCAUCCGGUACGACAUGUACUCGGUUCGUAUUGUUGAUUUAGGUCCUUCAAUCAAACUUGAUCCCGCCGAAGAGAAGGGAAUCCUUGGCGAAGCUUUGAGGUCCGGCCGGGCUCAGUACGUGUCCGCCGAUCUCCGUGACAAGUCCCAAGUGCUUAAAGCUUGCGACGGAGCUGAUGUUGUUUUCCACAUGGCUGCUCCUGAUUCAUCCAUCAACAACCAUGAGCUCCAUCAUUCAGUUAAUGUGAAAGGAACAAGGAAUAUAAUUGAUGCUUGUAUAGAACUCAAAAUUAAGAGACUUAUAUAUACCAGCUCUGCUAGUGUGGUUUUUGAUGGAGUUCACGGAAUUUUUAAUGGCGAUGAAUCAUUGGCAUAUCCAGCUAAGCACAACGAUUCAUAUUCUGCUACCAAAGCUGAAGGAGAAGCACUGGUCAUCAAAUCAAAUGGUAGGAAUGGGCUUUUAACUUGUUGCAUCCGCCCCAGCAGCAUUUUUGGUCCUGGUGACAAAUUACUUGUUCCAUCUUUGGUGUCUGCUGCUAGGGCAGGCAAAUUGAAGUUUCUAAUUGGUGAUGGGAAUAACAUGUACGAUUUUACUUAUGUUGAAAAUGUGGCACAUGCUCAUAUAUGUGCGGAACGAGCUCUUGCAUCAGGAGGCACAGUUGCAGAGAGAGCUGCGGGGGAGGCAUUUUUUAUAACUAAUAGGGAGCCGAUCAAGUUUUGGGAGUUUGUGUCACUUGUUCUUGAAGGCCUUGGCUAUGAUAGGCCAAGAAUUAAGGUUCCAGUUUUCUUGAUAAUGCCAAUUGCACGUCUGGUGGAGUGGACAUAUAGGCUGUUAGCCCCAUAUGGCAUGAAGGUUCCACAGUUUACACCAUCAAGAGUCAGACUUCUCUCUUGCAGCAGAACAUUCAACUGUUCAAAAGCCAAUGACCGACUCGGCUACACUCCUCUUGUGCCACUUCAGGAGGGUCUCAAGAGGACAAUUGACUCAAAUUCACACUUGAGGGCUGUAUCUCAACCUAAGAAGGAUGGACCAUCAAAAGCUUUCUUGCGUCUUGGAGGAGGAAUGGUUGCUGACAUACUUCUCUGGAAGGAUAAAAAGCAGACGCUCGCCACCAUUAUCAUUCUCAUUUCAAUUUACUUCAACUUUGUGGCAUCUGGAUGCACCAUCAUCACUGCAGUUUCCAAGCUCCUCCUGGUGGCUUGUGUUUUUCUGUUCAUACAUGGAAUAUUACCUAAGAAGAUAUUUGGAUAUACAAUCGAGAAAAUUCCAGGAUCAUAUUUCCACUUGACAGAAGAGAUGUCACACCAAGUUGCUCUGUCAGUGGCCUCCUCAUGGAAUUCUUCGGUACAUUGUUUAAAAUCUCUUUGCAAAGGGAAUGACUGGCUGCUAUUCAUGAAGGUGGGUUUCUCUCUAUUGAUUAUCAGCUUCCUUGGUGCCAUAUCACUGCAGAAUUUGUUUAUCAUAGGACUUCCGAUUGCAUUUGUUGCUUUCUUGGUUUACGAGAAAAAGGAAGAAGAGAUAGAUAAUCUGGCCUCCAAACUUUCCUCAUUUGGAUGCAAUUUAAAAUCUGAUGCUGCCAGAAAGCUCCUCAACUCUAAGAAGAUUCAGUAACAGGAGAUACUUGACAUCUUGUGCAGGUUACUGGAAACGGAAUGUUUACUUACCACCCAACCCAUGUCUUCAAUGAUCCAAUUGCUCGCCGGAGCUUCCACCAGUUUUUUGGGCAUAUGAUUUCAAUGUUUUGGUUGGUUUGUUUCCUAAGAUUUUUAUAUUGUAUUUGUUGUUGUUGUUGUUGUUUCAAGCGUUCUUAAACCUCUUGCUAGUUAAAUUGGUCAAGACUUGCCCCUUUUCGCGCUUCGUGUCUUCUCCUGUUUCAUUUUCCUCGGUUCUUUUUUCGGUUUGUGCAGAAGAUCAUGCUACUGUGGUCUUCCAAGCUUUGUCUGGUUCUUGUUGUGAAUAUGGCAAUGCUCUUCUGCCCUCGGACUGAUUUAGGCCCAUCAGGUAUUCACCUACCUAUGCAACAUGUGUGUUGGGGGGGUGGUUGUUCGUUCUGCCAUGGGAGUGAAGAAAUAAAAAAAAUGCAAUUCUUAAGUAAAACAUUAUGUUGGGGUUAGUUAUUAUAACAUGUGAAAUGAUCUUUAUUUUUUGAGAAUGAAGUCAUUUACAAUAAUAAAUUAAUUUGUAUUUAAAACAACGUUGUUAAGGUGCCAUGUGGCAUAAUAA